rnacentral:rRNA from 1 species
UACAGAGGUCUCAAGCGUUGUUCGGAUUCAUUGGGCGUAAAGGGUGCGUAGGCGGCGCGGUAAGUCGGGUGUGAAAUCUCGGAGCUUAACUCCGAAACUGCAUUCGAUACUGCCGUGCUUGAGGACUGGAGAGGAGACUGGAAUUUACGGUGUAGCGGUGAAAUGCGUAGAUAUCUGGAGGAACACCGGUGGCGAAGGCGGCAUCCUGGACCAACAUUGACGCUGAGGAGCGAAAGCUAGGGGAGCAAACGGG